AUGAACGCUGGCGGCGUGCCUAAUACAUGCAAGUUGAGCGAACAGACGAGGAGCUUGCUCCUCUGACGUUAGCGGCGGACGGGUGAGUAACACGUGGAUAACCUACCUAUAAGACUGGGAUAACUUCGGGAAACCGGAGCUAAUACCGGAUAAUAUAUUGAACCGCAUGGUUCAAUAGUGAAAGACGGUUUUGCUGUCACUUAUAGAUGGAUCCGCGCCGCAUUAGCUAGUUGGUAAGGUAACGGCUUACCAAGGCGACGAUGCGUAGCCGACCUGAGAGGGUGAUCGGCCACACUGGAACUGAGACACGGUCCAGACUCCUACGGGAGGCAGCAGUAGGGAAUCUUCCGCAAUGGGCGAAAGCCUGACGGAGCAACGCCGCGUGAGUGAUGAAGGUCUUCGGAUCGUAAAACUCUGUUAUUAGGGAAGAACAAAUGUGUAAGUAACUAUGCACGUCUUGACGGUACCUAAUCAGAAAGCCACGGCUAACUACGUG
rnacentral:rRNA from 1 species